GUGGUUGUAGCUCAAUGGCAGAGCGCCAGUUUGUGGAACUGGAUGUUGCGGGUUCAAUUCCCGUCAGCCACCCA
rnacentral:tRNA from 2 species